CUGGGCCAGGUAGAGUUCUCACUUGAUGUCUCCCUUCCUUUGAUUGGAAGAUACUUUUGUAUCUUUCUUCGGAGGUCAGUGUCAAGACCAGGGUUCCUAUGCUCCUGUUAAAUGCACUAAUGUUGCAAGCGAGGAAAGAGAGAUCACAGACCGGUGGAAGGGUGGGGCACGGGUGUGGAGUUGAUUUUGAAUAUUUGUUGGUGCCUGCUUCCCUGCCAGCCUGAUACUCAGCCCAACAUCUGGCCUCAGGAGCGGAGGAGGAACCCCGGAAGAGUGCGGGGGUCCCAGAGGAGCUUGGGAAGAGCCCCAGAGCCCUUUCUCAUUCUUCCUGAUCCUUUAUGCUAUGUCUUCAGUCCUCCUCCCACACAGUGGUGUGCCUGCUUCCUUUCCAAGGCCUGUCUGCUAUAGAGAUCUCCAACAGACGUGAGACUCCUCUCUCUUCCCAGGCCAUGCUGGUAUCUCCUUCCUUACUCUGUUUCCACAUGCUCAACCAAGAUGCCAAAUUAACCCUUCACUGUCACUCUCUGAAGAGUCUAUCAAGAGCCCUCCGUGGCUAACUCUUUUCUCCUCCUCUUCUACCAACUGGCCUGCUUCUGAGGUCUUCUUAGGUCUGACCCCCUCACACCCCUUUCCCUCCAUGACAGUUAACUUUGAAGGUCAACUUGAUUAGAUGGAGAAGCCACCGAAGAGGGAAGAGAAGUACACUUCCAGGCGUGUCUGUGAGGAAAUUUAACCGAGUGAGCAAGAGCCUGUUGAAAAGUUCAUCUCAAGCUCCUGUCAGCAUCAACUAAUACCAGAUCUCAUCUGAGUGGCCACUAUGAGGUCAGAUUUUGAACUAAGGGCCUGAAGUUCAGCAAGAAGGAACCAAGCCGCCCUGUACUCACCUGUGGGAAGCCCAGCAGAGAGACAGUUUCAGAGGUCCAGUCCAUUAUCAUCGUGUCGGGAAACAUGGCAGCGUGCAGACAGACAUGGUGCUGGAGAAGGAGCUGAGAGUUCUACAUCCUCAUCUGAAGGCAGCAGAAGAUCAUCAUGGGCCACACUGAGCAUAGUUUGAGCUUAUAAGAAAUCUCAAAGCCUGCCUCCACGUUGACAUACUUCCUCCAACAAGGAAUCAUUCCACAGAAAGUCAUGUGGAGCAGAGCAUCCCAGUGAUCAACAGCUGAGCUGAGCAGAGUCAUCGGUGACCUUCUGACCCAAGGAGGACAACUUCGCAGCAGACACAGACGCAGACGCAGACGCAGACGCAGAUGCAGACGCAGACAUCAAACCUUGAUGGGACCAGCCAACAACCAUUUCCUAACCAACAAACAAAUGGGCCAUCUCUUGAAGGUUCAUGUCCAAGCUGUCUUAGUCUAGCGUAGUCGUAGCCUCUUUCUAGAUUAAAAGCCUCCAACUCUCCCAUUGCUGUGGUUCAAGUGUGAGAAACUUGGUCUUCAGUUUGGCAGUCUUGAGGAGUGAUGGGAACUUCCAAGAGCUGGGAGCUAGUGGGUGGUCAUCAGGGCUCUGCCCUGGGAGAGGAUUAAGUAGCCCUCAAGGGAGGCACCCAGGUUUGUUAUGAGAAGAGGUUUAUUUUAAAGAGAAGGCAGAUUCCUCCCUGGUUUCUUUAGCUUCCUGUCACCCUCUGACAUCCCUCCCCCAAACACAUUCUUCUGCCUUGAAGCCAUUUGUCAGGGAGUGAAGGGGCCUUUCCAAAGCCACCUCAUGCUGUUCACACUUUUGCCCUCUGAAAGUGUAAGCGAAGUAAACCUCUUCUUUACGUUACGCUAUACAACUCAGUCGUUUUGUUGUUAAGCAUGGCGAAUGAACCAGUAUCCCUUGUCAGUUACCUUUAUGGCUUGCGCUUCCGGGCCCAGCAAGUUAAAAAACUUGGCUUUCAUUUUUAUGACUGUGUAGCUCUGGUGGGAGCGCUGCAUUUUACUGCCAAAGAGUUCUGUAGGGAGUCACACUAACUAACAAUUACCAUCUAUGGCAGCCUAAGACAAGCGUGUGAGUCCUGUGAAAGGUGGAAAAACCAAAACUCAACCCUCAACCGACCUAAACCCAAUCAAAAAACAAGAGCUCAGUGACAGUUAACUCCAUCAGACAGACCACACGAUUCAGCCCCGAGGAGUUCCCAGUUAGGAAUUGGUUUCAAUGGAACCCAGCGAGUCUCUUCAGUGGUUUCAACUUGAGUGUGGCUUCUAGAUGUAUGUGGGGUGUGUCUGUGGUUUAGCAUUUAGUUUACCAACUGUUAAGGAUCAGAAGUCAGGAUUUUUACAACAACAACCAAACCAAAACCAAAACUUGUUACUUCUUAAUUAUUUAGCACAUGUACUACAAAAAUCUAAUUAAUUUUGGCAGGGUCUGUGCCUGCUCAACUCUCAUGAUACAAAACCAGGGCUUCUCAGAAGAACCUCCCACCCCAGAAUGUUAGCUAAUCUCCCUUCCCAGUCAUAUCAAGACUACCUGGGAGACUUACACUCUAAUUAGGGUUUCUAUAGCACAACUUUGAACUUGGGGAAUUACCCGCAUCCCAAUCAUUAUGCCCCAAAUAAGAGUAACAUCCAAUGUUUUCCCUGUAAUAACCCUUUCCUCCCACUUCAAGAUGCUAUUGCAAUGUGCUUCUCUUGUUGAAGAUUAUUAAUGUGCUUUGUAUUUGGGAAGGGAACACCUGACAGAGUCUAUUUUGAUGUAUUUCUCGCUCUGCUUCUAAACUAUUCAAACCAAUCUUGCUUCUGCCCCUAUCUCUGCCUUUUGGUAAGUUUGUCUCUUGAUAUAAAAUGCACAGCGUUUUGUGUGUUGUUGGUGUGAUCAGACCCAGUGUCUUGAACAACAGCAUUUCCUCUUACUGUUUCCAGAAAUGAUUUGCUCAGUUGCUGCCAUGAGUGGGUAGCAGCACCAGGCACCUACAUUGUGACGUUGGAACGUAUUCCCUCUGUUCUUACAACUCAACUCUGAAGUGGGAAUUUCUGAUUUUUUUUUUUUUUUUGGAGGUUCAGUGAUGUCCUGAGCUGUUUUUCUGGACGUUGACCUAUGAGAGGAUGUUUGGCUGAAACAGACACGUGAGAGGACACAUUACGUUUGGAAACAGUAGCAGUAGAACCCAGCAGACACUGAGUGAUGCUCUUGCGCUGGUUCAUCUUGCAACAGUUCACUUGUGUCUUUGUAGAGAGAAGGGAGCGGAAGAGCUUCAUGUGCUACUCUGGCUGCUUCUCGCUGCUCCCGCGGGAUUGUCCUGACUUGGCAGAGCCUUGCAGGUUCUUCUGGAUGGAGCCACUGCUACAGACUCGUGUUUGACGUUUUAGCCUGGGCUGCUGAAAUCCUGACAAUGAAGAUUGAAAUAGCCCCAAAGAACUACUUCCUGACAGGUCCACAUCCUCCUUGUCCUAGUAACCAUCUUUCUCCCCUUCCUUUGGUCAGUGGGCUAGAAGGGAAGCAUUUAAGAACCCUUAGGUUUUGAAAAAAAUCUAAACUUACACAAGUUAUUUCUUUUUUCCUUCCCUCAAACAUUUGAUAAUGGGCUGGAGAGAUGGCUCAGUGGUUAAGAGCACUGGCUGCUCUUCCAGAGGUCCUGAGUUCAAUUCCCAGCACCCACAUGGUGGCUCACAACCAUCUGUAAUGGGAUCAGAUGCCCUCUUCUGAAGACAGCUACACUGUACUUACAUAUAAUAAAUAAAUCUUAAAAAAAGCA